rnacentral:lncRNA from 1 species
UCCACCCUCUCCUUCCCUGCUGUGUCCACAAAUCCAUUCUCUACAUCUGUGUCUCUGUUCCGCCCCGCAGAUAGAUUCAACGGUACCAUUUUCCUAGAUUUCAUAUUUAUGCAGUAUUCCGACAGGUGUGGGGCCUUGGUUUUGAUUUGCAUUUUCGUGAUGAUUAGUGAUGCUGAGCCAGCCGGAGAUCCUUUUAAGCACUCUGGUGCUAGCAAGCACUCGAUCAAUUUCAGCUAUUCUUUUUAUUAAUAUGUGGUCCUUCAGCAAAUAUAGCUGGGAAAGAUGGCUCACUGAGCCAUUAACUCCUUGGUAUGAAUUAGUUUCUCAGCAGGAAUAGUUGAGAAAGGACCUCAGGAUGGGAGCAAGGAUGGAGUUACAGAGAGGGAGAGCUUAAAAAAAAAAGAAUGCUAGGGAAUCUAAAGCAAAUCUCUUUGUGGUUUUGCUGAGGCCCACCCCGGCACAGCAUGAAGAUAGCUCUGCAAGCAGCCGUUGGCGUAUCUCCCUCUGAGCCCAGCCAGGCGGUGGAGGAAAUGAAGAGGCGCUCCAGGGAGGGGCACGGCCAAGAGGCCAGGGCGGAGCGGGGAGAGCCGGUGGUGAGCGCAGCUGCCCUGCGACAUGGACGGCCCUUCGCGCUGCUGCUGCUGGCCCAGGACACAGACAGGUUCCUAUGGAAGAAUGAAACACAGCGAGGAGAAGAGAAUUGCCGAUUCCCAGGGGCCUGUGUCUGCCAGCGGCUGCUGAGUACCUCUGAGAAACUCUGCUUUGAGCUAAUAGGAACCCCCUGUUCUGGGAAGAUCAGUAUAUGGAACAAAAACCUCUGGGUGGACCCCUGGGCAAGAUGAAUUUGACCGACCAUAUGUUCCAGGACUCCAGCGAGAACAUCACCACCUCAACGUCAGGCCCCACACUACCCAGCAGCCUAGACACAGCGGCCACAGCUGUUUCUGGCUCCAUUGGUGUCGUGGCCCUCAUCUUGCUCCUGGUGGGACUCUUGUCCGUGACUCUGAAAAAAUGGAGGCAUGAGAGACUAUUUAAGAAACAACAGAAGCAUCAGACCAACUUUCUCCACAAAUCCUUGGAGCUUUCCUGCCAUGCCGAUGCCAUAUAUUCCAACGUGAUCAACCUGGCACCCAGGAAAGAGGAUGACUUCGCUGUCUAUGCCAACGUGCCCCCUUUCAACCGCCCCAGGAGGACAUCACCAGACCACGUGGAAUAUGCCUCCAUUGUAUUUCACUGAUGAGAGGCUCGUGAGAUGCUUCAGAGUGGAGAGUCAGACCUGUGCCUAUCUGUAUCCUGAUGCGGCUUUUGCUCUAGAUAUGUGUGUAUAUGUGUGCAUGUGUGUGUGUGUGUCUUUGCACGUGCCUGUGUGUGUUCAUGCCCGCCCAUGCUCAAAAAACCAUAAUAUGUAUUCUGAUGGAGGUAAAUGACUUGGUAUUUCUUCUAAUUUAUUGGAAGCAAGGUGCAGUUCUAAUGGAAAGGGGUGACAUCUGAGUGACAAGGGACAUAGUCAUUUCAGCCACUCUGAGCCAGAGGCAGGUUCCUGAGAGAGACUGGCCGAAAGAAGAGCCGUCUCUCUCCCCUGCCCCUCAUAAGGCCAGGGCUGAGGAGCAGGGCUCACCCCACUCAGGGACCAGCUCCCGGACUUCGUCUCUGCUGUGCUGCCCUGUAAGGAGCUGACUCCCUGCAGAGGUUAACGCGUGCGUCACACUCAGGUCUGUGGCUGAUCACCACGCACAUUUUCACAGCAGCUUUCCAGGGCCAUGCAGCAAGUGUGGAGGGAGACGGCGUGGGGGAGCUGCAAGUCCAUGGGGUCUCAAAGAGUUGGACAUGACUGAAGCAACUUAGCACGCAAAUGCAAUGGAGAAAAGAAAAUUUCAUUUAAAAACAAAGCUUAUGGAAGCCACUUUCAUCUUCGAGGAUGAUGUGAUUCACAUCGUUAAGAAAACACCUAUUCUACGGAUCCAUUCCAUCUAUAGAGACUGGAGAGGGGAGAUGAAAGUAGGAAGGAAACACAAAGAUUUCCAAGCCUCUGCCUUCUUUUCUAUUGAUAAUGGGAAAGUUCAAGAGCAGGCAACCCUUUGUCUUUAACACAGCUGUAUGAUGACCAGGUACCCUGAUUUGUUGGGGAUUUUCCUGGUGUACAACUGUGGUCCCAGCAAAAUUAUUAUUAGAUCCCCUUUCAUUCUCUAAAUUGUCAUAGUUUGGAUGAUAGAUUAUGUGGUCACCUGUUCACAAGAUUUUGAGAGUGCAAAAGCAAUUCCAAGACCAAUAAGGAAGGGAAAGCAAAGUUGUUUUGUACAAUAAAGUGGGAACGGAAUCGGGGUGGGAGUGGAGG